UAAGUUUACAAUAAUUUAUAUAAUAUCGUUUUUAUUCAUUUGUAGAAGAGUUUUUUCUUUAAUAUGGUAAUUUUACCUUUUGCAUAAUGGGUGAACUAUAAUAUUAAAAAUUAUUUUUUAAUCACGAUGGGAGAAGAUCUAACAAAAGUUUUUUUUUAGUUUAUUAUAAUCUUCUAUAUAAACAGGGGACUAAAAACUAUUGUUAGGGGUGAAAGGCUUAUCAAUUCUCCCGAUAUCUUGAUAUAAUUUAAAUGUAUUUAGUACAUAAGACAAUGAGGAAGUGGUGAGAUUUUCUCAGUAAACAACUUUUAUUUUUUAAAUUCUCUCUUAAGAUUUAACAAUUAAGGUUUAACUAUUAAAAAUAUUAAUUUUUUUAGUUUAGUGUUUUUUUUAUACUAUAACCUAUAUCUGAACUUUAACGAGGGGUAUAUAAUGUUUAUAUGAGUAUUUUAAUAUAUAUAUAUAUAAAACUGUAAAAGGAACUCGGCAAAAAGACUGCUCAACUGUUUAUCAAAAACAUAGCUUAAUGUUUUUUGUAUUAAGUUAAUUCUGCUCAGUGAUAUUUUAAACAGCCGCAGUACACUGACUGUGCUAAGGUAGCAUAAUAAGUUGGCUUAUAAUUGAAGUCUUGUAUGAAAGGAACUUGAUGGGUAGUAACUGUCUCUUUAAGUUUAAAUAAAAAUUAUUUAGGGGGUGAAAAUACCCCCUCUUAAAAGAAAGACGAGAAGACCCUUAGAAUUUUUUAUUACAGUUAAUUUUUUAAUACGUAUUUGUUGGGGCGACAAAUUAGCAAUUUUAACCUAAUUAUUAUAGUAAGUUUUACACGUAAUUUAUAAUUAGAUUGAUUAAUUACCUAAGGGAUAACAGCAUAAUCUUAUAUGGUUUGUGACCUCGAUGUUGGACUAGGGAUUAUUAAGGCUAGCAGCUUUAAUAGAUAGUUCUGUUCGAACUCUGCCCCCUACAUGAUCUGAGUUCAGACCGGCGUAAGCCAGGUCAGUUUCUAUCUUCUUUUUUUUUUAUUCCAGUACGAAAGGACCUUUUAAAAUUUUU
rnacentral:rRNA from 1 species